CCUACGGGGAGCAGCAGUGGGGAAUAUUGGGCAAUGGACGAAACCCUGACCCAGCAACGCCGCGUGAAUGAUGAAGGUUUUCGGAUUGUAAAGUUCUUUUCUUAGGGACGAAGAAAGUGACGGUACCUUAGGAAUAAGCCUCGGCUAACUACGUGCCAGCAGCCGCGGUAAUACGUAGGUGGCAAGCGUUAUCCGGAAUUACUGGGUGUAAAGGGCGCGUAGGUGGGUAUGCAAGUCAGUUGGGAAAACCCGGGGCUCAACCUCGGCACUGCUAGCGAAACUGUAUGACUUGAGUGCAGGAGAGGCAAAUGGAAUUCCGUGUGUAGCGGUGGAAUGCGUAGAUAUUAGGAGGAACACCAGUGGCGAAGGCGAUUUGCUGGACUGUAACUGACGCUGAGGCACGAAAGCGUGGGGAGCAAACAGGAUUAGAUACCCUGGUAGUC
rnacentral:rRNA from 1 species